rnacentral:rRNA from 1 species
AGUGAACGCUGGCGGUAGGCCUAACACAUGCAAGUCGAACGGCAGCACAGUAAGAGCUUGCUCUUACGGGUGGCGAGUGGCGGACGGGUGAGGAAUACAUCGGAAUCUACUUUUUCGUGGGGGAUAACGUAGGGAAACUUACGCUAAUACCGCAUACGACCUACGGGUGAAAGCAGGGGAUCUUCGGACCUUGCGCGAUUGAAUGAGCCGAUGUCGGAUUAGCUAGUUGGCGGGGUAAAGGCCCACCAAGGCGACGAUCCGUAGCUGGUCUGAGAGGAUGAUCAGCAACACUGGAACUGAGACACGGUCCAGACUCCAACGGGAGGCAGCAGUGGGGAAUAUUGGACAAUGGGCGCAAGCCUGAUCCAGCCAUACCGCGUGGGUGAAGAAGGCCUUCGGGUUGUAAAGCCCUUUUGUUGGGAAAGAAAAGCAGCAGGUUAAUACCCCGCUGUUCUGACGGUACCCAAAGAAUAAGCACCGGCUAACUUCGU